rnacentral:rRNA from 1 species
UUGGACAUGGGCGCAAGCCUGAUCCAGCCAUGCCGCGUGUGUGAAGAAGGCCUUCGGGUUGUAAAGCACUUUCAGUAGGGAGGAAGGGUUAAGUGUUAAUAGUACUUAACUUUGACGUUACCUACAGAAGAAGCACCGGCUAACUCUGUGCCAGCAGCCGCGGUAAU